rnacentral:rRNA from 1 species
UACGUAGGGUGCGAGCGUUGUCCGGAAUCAUUGGGCGUAAAGCGCGCGUAGGCGGCCCCGUAAGUCCGCUGUGAAAGUCAAAGGCUCAACCUUUGAAAGCCGGUGGAUACUGUGGGGCUAGAGUCCGGAAGAGGCGAGUGGAAUUCCUGGUGUAGCGGUGGAAUGCGCAGAUAUCAGGAGGAACACCAAUAGCGAAGGCAGCUCGCUGGGACGGUACUGACGCUAAGGCGCGAAAGCGUGGGGAGCGAACAGG